rnacentral:rRNA from 1 species
GACGAACGCUGGCGGCGUGGAUUAGGCAUGCAAGUCGCGCGACGGUAUUCCUUCGGGGAUAUACGGAGCGGCGAACGGGUGAGUAACACGUGAGGAACCUGUCCCUACAUUCCGGAUAAUUGGCCGAAAGGCCUUGUAAUACGGGGGAGGGUCUUUGAGGGGCAUCCCUUAAAGAAGGAACGAGCAAUCGGUGCAGGGAGGGUCUCGCGGCCUAUCAGCUUGUUGGUGGGGUAAAGGCCUACCAAGGCGACGACGGGUAGCUGGUCUGAGAGGAUGGUCAGCCACAUUGGAACUGAGACACUGUCCAGACUCCUACGGGAGGCUGCAGUCGAGAAUCUUGGUCAAUGCACGAAAGUGUGAACCAGCGACGCCGCGUGAAGGAUGAAGGACCUCUGGUUCGUAAACUUCGUUU